CAGAGUGUAGCUAAAAUAGUAUAGCAUCUCCCUUACACUGAGAAGGUACCUGUGCAAGUCAGGCCACCCUGA
rnacentral:tRNA from 1 species